GAUGAACGCUGGCGGCGUGCCUAAUACAUGCAAGUCGAGCGAACGGACGAGAAGCUUGCUUCUCUGAUGUUAGCGGCGGACGGGUGAGUAACACGUGGAUAACCUACCUAUAAGACUGGGAUAACCUCGGGAAACCGUAGCUAAUACCGGAUAAUAUUUUGAACCGCAUGGUUCAAAAGUGAAAGACGGUCUUGCUGUCACUUAUAGAUGGAUCCGCGCUGCAUUAGCUAGUUGGUAAGGUAACGGCUUACCAAGGCAACGAUGCAUAGCCGACCUGAGAGGGUGAUCUGCCACACUGGAACUGAGACACGGUCCAGACUCCUACGGGAGGCAGCAGUAGGGAAUCUUCCGCAAUGGGCGAAAGCCUGACGGAGCAACGCCGCGUGAGUGAUGAAGGUCUUCGGAUCGUAAAACUCUGUUAUUAGGGAAGAACAUAUGUGUAAGUAACUGUGCACAUCUUGACGGUACCUAAUCAGAAAGCCACGGCUAACUACGUG
rnacentral:rRNA from 1 species